UUCUGAAUGUGUUCAUUUUUAUUUUUAUUUUUCUGGUGGUGAGCACGCUGCUUUGAGCCCUCUGCUCGCAUGUUUCCACUUCCUCUCACUUUCCUGCAUGCCUCUGUGACCUCGAGGCUUGUGGCUCAGAGAAGUCUGAGUGGUUCCCAUGGGUCUGCAUCCUUUGAUGGAGCCAGGAGAAGCAGAUUCUCCCACCAUGGUGCUCCACCGCUGCUGACAUCUGCAGAGUGCCCAUUGAUGACCACAAAAAGGAAUGUCCAGUGCAGCUGCGGGUCCACUUGAGCCCUCCAAGCCAGCCCUCUCCAGCCCACUCUGUCUGUGGGCUCUGUGUUCCCAGAGCCUGUUGUUGCAGUGAUGUCUGGAAUCCUCAACACCUGCACGCCAGCUUCCUGGGCAUUUCCACCGCCCUCCUCCUUCCCCUCCCAAAGCUCUAUUUGCAUCUGAAAUGCAGCUGCUCUGGACUCAAAAGAGGGGAGCCCAAAGGACAGGACAGCUCCUUGUUUGGGCUCCCUCUCUCAGUCAAACCAAAUCUGAAGCUCCUCUGUACAAGGCCUUUUGUUGCCCUGUCAUUAUGUUUAAAUGAGCCUCAUCUGCAGGAAGAUUUUUUUUAAUAAAAUAAAAUAAAACCACCACAAAAGACCAAAGCAGAUGACAUCUGUUCUUUCCAUGAAAGCUCUUUUUUUUUGUCUUGAAUUAGGCUAAAAAAAGAAAAGAGAAAGAAUGGGACUGGGCCUCACUUGUACUGUCCCUCCCCCCAAAAAAAAACCUAAAAUACAUAAAAUUAGUGCACCCUGGAGGCAAAGGGGUGUGGAACAGAUAACAAGAAAAAGAGGAGAGAAGAGGAGAAAUAAAAAGAACCGUCGCUACUCCUCCAUCAAUGUUCUGCACCAUUUCUGACUAAGGAUAUUCCGAGAACAGUCUUAAAGCGUCACUUGUUUGGAGAGAAUGUUCAAAUUUAUCUUCCCUGGGCCUGUUUCAUCAGUAAAAUAUUUUACAACUCUUUAGCCAU
rnacentral:lncRNA from 1 species